rfam:Ashbya gossypii ATCC 10895 chromosome VI, complete sequence.
CAUAAUGAUGAACGACAUUGAGUGAACAAUCUCUGAGGCCACGGCCGUAGGAUUAAAAACACAUGUUGCCUUCCUUCUGAAC